rnacentral:rRNA from 1 species
GAUUGUAGUCUGCAACCCGACUACAUGAAGCUGGAAUCGCUAGUAAUCGCGGAUCAGAAUGCCGCGGUGAAUACGUUCCCGGGUCUUGUACACACCGCCCGUCACACCAUGGGAGUCGGAAAUGCCCGAAGUCUGUGACCCAACCAUUAAGGAGGGAGCAGCCGAAGGCAGGUCGGAUGACUGGGGUGAAGUCGUAACAAGGUACC